rnacentral:lncRNA from 1 species
UUUAUGAGAUACGGUGAGACAUGUGAAAAAAACACACCCCUGUUUUAGUUACAAAGUGCCGUAACUCAAAAAGUUUUAAUCUUAUUUUCACCAAAAAGUAUACAGAUCAUUUGACCAUCAUAAGAAACAACUAUGUUAAGUUUCAUAAAAUUUGGAUAAGUCGUUCUCAAGUUACGGUGCGACAUGUUUACGCCGGACAGACAGACGGACGGACACCGGACAUUUGUAUACCAUAAUACGUCCCGUCAAAAAAUUUUGACGGGCGUAUAAAAAUACAUGGGAACUCAUACUGAAUGGUCAAAUGUGUUCAAUAUGAAAAUUGCAGCAAAGAUGGUAAAAUCACAAAUCAGCCAUUAC